rnacentral:rRNA from 1 species
GUCCACGCUGUAAACGAUGGGCACUAGGUGUCCGGGGUAUUGACCCCUGGUGCCGCAGCUAACGCAUUAAGUGCCCCGCCUGGGGAGUACGGUCGCAAGAUUAAACUCAAAGGAAUUGACGGGGGCCCGCACAAGCGGUGGAGCAUGUGGUUCAAUUCGACGCAAACGCGAAGAACCUUACCUGGACUAGACAACGGUGGACCGUCCUAGAAAUAGGAUUUUCCCUUCGGGGACUGCCGGUUCAGGUGCUGCAUGGCUGUCGU